ensembl:lncRNA
AUUCCACACCAGGCUCACCCCUCCCUGCCUGAAGUGUGGCCUAAAAGCCACAGGGCCAAUUUCUCUGCUUCCUUCUCAUGCAGCUGUUUCCAAACCAACCAACCUGCCAAUCAGGCCUGAUCCCCAGGCAAGGCUUUCCCUGGCAGCUACACCAGGAAAGCUGUGGUCCUGGCCCCAGCCUCGGCACGCAGCUCGGGCAUCCCAGUCUCUGAAGAGAGAGUUGCAGCCUAGUCUCAGGCCUCUUGGCCAGUCAAGCCCUUCAUAUGUUUACAUCCCUAACCCUGGCGUCUUCAUGCCCAGGUCUCCUUCCCUGAGGUCUUGGGCGGAGGUCUUCCAGGCACCUCAGCUGAGACCUCUGUGUGGAGUGGAGGCCUUGCCACUUCUCCCCACGGGGACUCAGGACUCAGUACACAUCCACUCUCAGUUCUCCCCUCCCCGACUCUGGGGUCUGUAAAGCUGCCAGAGCCUCUUAUUCAGGACCCCUUCAACACUGAGAUUAGCCCACAUC